GACAGAGGGUGCAAACGUUGUUCGGAAUUACUGGGCGUAAAGCGUGUGUAGGCGGUCUCUUAAGUCGGAUGUGAAAGCCCCGGGCUCAACCCGGGAAGUGCACUCGAAACUGGGAGGCUAGAGUACUGGAGAGGUUGGUGGAAUUCUCGGUGUAGAGGUGAAAUUCGUAGAUAUCGAGAGGAACACCGGUGGCGAAGGCGGCUCACUGGACCGGUACUGACGCUGAUGCGCGAAAGCGUGGGGAGCAAACGGG
rnacentral:rRNA from 1 species